UACAGAGGUCUCGAGCGUUAGGCGGAAUCACUGGGCUUAAAGCGUGUGUAGGUGGAUGCCUAAGUACCUUGUGAAAUCCCACAGCUUAACUGUGGAACUGCUUGGUAUACUGGGUGUCUUGAGUCACUCAGGGGCGAGCGGAACAAAUGGUGGAGCGGUGAAAUGCGUAGAUAUCAUUGGGAACGCCAAUGGUGAAAACAGCUCGCUGGGGGUGCACUGACACUGAGACACGAAAGCCAGGGGAGCGAACGGG
rnacentral:rRNA from 1 species